GUUUUUCUCACUUGGCCUUAAACCGUGUUCUGCUGUGUCCUGUUUCUGUGGAAGCCGUUCUCAUGCUCUCUUCAUUAUGAGGAUGGGAGACUGACAUCAUCCCCUGGCCCUGUGGUAAUCAACAAGGAGGCCAACACAGAAGAGCAGAGACUGAUUAGACAGCUGCAGUCAGCUACUGAGGAGAGAAAUGAGCUAAGAGAUCUCCUGACUUACGUGACAGAGAGAUACAGGAACAACAGCAACCUGCCCAGUCGGAUCCAUAUGGACAAGAUAUGUAUGCAGAAGAAGUUGUUCCCAUUCAAGGAGAGCAAAACAGAACAUCUGGAUUGUGCACCAUUGGUUCAGAAAUAUUUGGUUGACUUGCACAAGAAAGAUAAGGAUGAACAGGAGAAGAAGAGCAACCUCCAGACCCAGCCACGUCUGGAUAACACCACUUGAGAGAAGACUUGGUGACUGCAAUGCCAUUUUGCCUGCUAGAGGAGAAACAGC
rnacentral:lncRNA from 1 species